CGGGAUUCUGUUCGAUUUUGAGGG
rnacentral:miRNA from 1 species